rnacentral:rRNA from 1 species
AAAGGUAGCGUAAUCAUUAGUUUUUUAAUUAAAAGCUUGUAUGAAUGGUCGGACGAGGUAAAGACUGUCUUUAUUUAAUUGAUAGUAGAAUUUAACUUUUAAGUAAAAAGGCUUAAAUUUUCCUAAUAGACGAGAAGACCCUAUAGAUCUUUAUAGAUUUGGUUUUUAAUUAUAUUAAGAUUAUUUAAUAAUUAAGGAUUAGAUUUAUUUUAUUGGGGUAAUAUAAAGAUUUAAAAAAUUCUUUGAAUAUUAAAACAUAGAUAAUUGGUUAAUUGAUCCAAUAUUAUUGAUUAUAAGAUUAAGUUACCUUAGGGAUAACAGCGUAAUUUUUUUGGAGAGUUCAUAUCGAUAAAAAAGU